rnacentral:lncRNA from 1 species
CUUCCCUCAACCUGAAAGCUGACUUCAACUAUAUAAAAUCAUUAAGCAGCUUCGAGUCUGGAAAAUUUGUUGAAUGUACCGAGCAAUUAGAAUUGUUACCAGGAGAAAAUAUCAGUCUACUUGCUGGAGGAUCAAAAGAAAAAAUAGUAGACAUGAAAAAACUGCUUCAUAACAUGUUAAGUCCAGAUCCAAGGGAACCUCAGAAAUCCAUUGAAGUUCAAUUGUUAAGAAGUUCUGUUUGUUUGGCAACUGCUUUAAACCCGAUAGAACAAGAUCAGAAGUGGCAGUCUAUAACUGAAAAUGUGGUAAAGUACUUGAAGCAAACAUCCCGCAUCGCUAUUGGACCUCUGAGACUUUCUACUUUAACAGUUUCACAGUCUUUGCCAGUUCUAAGUACCUUGCAGCUGUAUUGCUCAUCUGCUUUGGAGACCACAGUUUCUAACAGACUUUCAACAGAGGACUCUCUUAUUCCACUCUUCGGUGAAGCUUUAUGUUCAUGUAAACAGCAUGACGUGAGGCCAUGGAUGCAGGCAUUAAGAGCUUCAAAUGAAUUUUAAAGGAUGACUGAUGGUCCUUGGAAGAGAAACCGUAAACAAAUAAGGUU